rnacentral:rRNA from 1 species
GUUCGUUAUUUAGGGCGCAUGGUGGAUGCCUUGGCAUGCUGGGCCGAUGAAGGACGUGUAAGGCUGCGUUAAGCCUCGGGGAGUUGUCAAUAGAGCGUUGAUCCGAGGAUGUCCGAAUGGGGAAACCUGGCACCUGUUAUGGGGUGUUACCCUUCAGUGAAUUCAUAGCUGUUGUGGGGGUUUACGCGGGGAAGUGAAACAUCUCAGUACCCGUAGGAGAAGAAAAUAAAAUAUGAUUCUGCUAGUAGUGGCGAACGAACGUGGAUGAGGCUAAACCGUGUGCAUGUGAUACUUGGUAGGGGUUGUGUGUGCGGUGUUGUGGGCCCCAAUGUGAAUCAGCUACCACUGGUUUGCUUGUGUGUUGUUGUUAGGUGAAGUGGUGUGGAAACGCCCACCGUAGAGGGUGAUAGUCCCGUAGUUGAAGGCUUCAAUGCGUAAGUUGUUGGGUUGCCCGAGUAGCAGCGGGCUCGUGGAAUCUGCUGUGAAUCUGCCGGGACCACCCGGUAAGCCUAAAUACUCAGUGUGACCGAUAGUGUAUGAGUACCGUGAGGGAAUGGUGAAAAGUACCCCGGGAGGGGAGUGAAAUAGUUCCUGAAACCAUGUGCUUACAAUCCGUCAGAGCACCUGUAUGUGUGUGAUGGCGUGCCUUUUGAAGAAUGAGCCUGCGAGUCAGCGGCAUGUCGCGAGGUUAACCCGUGUGGGGUAGCCGUAGGGAAACCGAAUCCUCAUGGGGUGUUUAGUGGCAUGUCCUGGACCCGAAGCGGGGUGAUCUACCCAUGGCCAGUGUGAAGCAGUAGUAAGAUGCUGUGGAGGCGCGAACCCACGUAGGUUGAAAACUGCGGGGAUGAGCUGUGGGUAGGGGUGAAAGGCCAAUCAAACUCCGUGAUAGCUGGUUCUCCCCGAAAUGCAUUUAGGUGCAGCGUCGCAUUAGCUUGGUGGAGGUAGAGCUACUGGUUGGUUGAGCGGGACUACAAUCUUAGCAAUGUCAGCCAAACUCCGAAUGCCACUAAUUGUGUUGUGCGGCAGUGAGACUGUGGGGGAUAAGCUUCAUAGUCGAGAGGGAAACAGCCCAGAUCGCCGGUUAAGGCCCCUAAGGGUGUGCUAAGUGGAAAAGGAUGUGGGAUCGCGAAGACAGCCAGGAGGUUGGCUUAGAAGCAGCCAUCCUUGAAAGAGUGCGUAAUAGCUCACUGGUCGAGUGGUCCUGCGCCGACAAUGUAGUGGGGCUCAAGCACACCGCCGAAGCCGCGGCAAUACUUUUUGUAUUGGGUAGGGGAGCGUCGUGCAUGUGUUGAAGCGUUACCGUAAGGCGGCGUGGAGUGUGUGCGAGUGAGAAUGCAGGCAUGAGUAACGAAUUGGAAGGUGAGAAUCCUUCCCGCCGGAUGACUAAGGGUUCCUGGGUCAAGUUCGUCUUCCCAGGGUGAGUCGGGACCUAAGGCGAGGCCGACAGGCGUAGUCGAUGGAUAACCAGUUGAUAUUCUGGUACCCGUAUAUCCGCGCCCAUGAUAAAGCACUGAUACUAACCACCGCGGAUACGAAUCGUUGUGUUCUUUGAGCACGUUGGUUUGUUGAUGUCGUGGGGCCUGAUGUGUGGUUCAAGUGAUGGGGUGACACAGUGUAGUAGCCAUGCCGCUUAGUGGAUUGUUGGUGUAAGCGUGUGAGGUGGUGUGUAGGCAAAUCCGCACACCGUUUAACCUGAGGCGUGAUGCGUAGCCCAAAUGUGGGUGAAGUUGGUGAUCUAGUACUGUCGAGAAAAGCCUCUAGCGAUGUGGAUGUAUGGCCCGUACCCUAAACCGACACAGGUGGUCAGGUUGAAAAUACUAAGGCGUUCGGGUGAACUGUGGUUAAGGAACUCGGCAAAAUGCCCCCGUAACUUCGGGAGAAGGGGGACCACACGACUUCGGCAUUCUUUGCGUUUGCUUUGGGGUUGUGGGGUCGCAGAGAAUAGAGGGAAGCGACUGUUUAUCAAAAACACAGGUCCAUGCGAAGACGUUAAGUUGAUGUAUAUGGACUGACGCCUGCCCGGUGCUGGAAGGUUAAGAGGACCGGUUAGUAGUCUUUGACUGCGAAGCUGAGAAUUUAAGCCCCAGUAAACGGCGGUGGUAACUAUAACCAUCCUAAGGUAGCGAAAUUCCUUGUCGGGUAAGUUC